rnacentral:lncRNA from 1 species
AUCUGUACCUCAAACUAUUGUUACUUCCCCUCUAUUCCCCUCUAUCCCCUAUCCCUGCCCUUUCCCCCCGCCCUAUUCCCAUCCUCUCUAUUCCUCACAUCCCCUGUCCCUGCCCUUUUCCCCUUCCUCUAUUCCCUAUCCUUGCCCUUUCCCCCGCUGCCCUAUUCUUGUCCCCUCUAUUCCCUUCUAUCCCCUAUCCCUGCCCUUUUCCUGUCCCAUUUCCCUCACCCUCUAUUCCCCUCUAUCCCCUAUCCCUCCCCUUUCCCCCCUUCCCCUACUCCUGUCUCCUCUAUUCCCCUCAAUCCCCUAUCCCUGCCCUUUCCCUUCCCCUAUUCCCGUCCCCUCUACCCCUUCCCCUAUUCCCAUCCCCUCUGUUCCCCUCUAUCCCCUGUCCCUGCCCUUUCCCUGCCCUAUUCCCGUCCCCUCUAUCCCCUGUCCCUGCCCUUUCCCUGCCCUGCCCUAUUCCCGUCCCCUCUAUCCCCUGUCCCCGCCCUUUCCCCUGCCCAAUUACCGUCCCCUCUAUUCCCCUCUAUCCCUCUCCCUGCCCUUUCCCCUGCCCUGUUUCCAUCCCCUAUCCCUGCCCUUUCCCCCUUCCCCUAUUCCCAUCCCCUCUGUUCCCCUCUAUCCCCUGUCCCUGCCCUUUCCCCCCCUGCCCUAUUCCCGUCCCCUUUAUCCCCUGUCCCUGCCCUUUCCCUGCUGACCUGUUCCCGUCCCCUCUAUCCCUGUCCCUGCCCUUUCCCUGCCCUGUCCCCGUCCCCUCUAUCCCCUGUCCCUGCCCUUUCCCCCCCUGACCUGUUCCCGUCCCCUCUAUCCCUGUCCCUGCCCUUUCCCUGCCCUGUCCCCGUCCCCUCUAUCCCCUGUCCCUGCCCUUUCCCCGCCCUGUCCCGCCCCUGUCCCUCCCGGGCAGUGCUGAUGGCCGUGUCCGUGUCGCUGUCCCCGCAGCUCGUUCGACGUGGCGGUGGUGGGCGCGGGGAUCGUGGGGCUGGCCACAGCCCGGGAGCUCAUCCAGCGCCACCCCUCGCUGGCCCUGGCCGUGCUGGAGAAGGAGCAGGAGCCGGGUACGGAGCGGGACAGCAGCAGGGAGCAGCAGAGGCUGAGCCCAAGGACACACUGCCCAACCUCCUCAGGAUUCCGUGGAUAUCUGUGUGCAGGGAUCAGCUUUUGGUAGCUGUGGGAGAGCAGCUGCCCUUGUUGUUGGAGUGGGAAGCGUUCCAGGCCAGGUUGGAGGGAGCUUGGAGCAGCCUGGGAUAG